rnacentral:lncRNA from 1 species
AAGAAGACAUAAAAGGACGCAGCACUCACCCCUGCUGCUGCUGUCCUCUUGCUCUUCCUAUGGUUUAUGCUGCGUGCAGGACAUCUCUUCUCUAUACCUUCUCUUUUUCCUUCAAAGCUCCCUUUUCUCCCUGAGCACUUUUGUACUUUCCUUUUUUUAAACAACAGAAAAACAUUUCUGUCCUAAAAUAAUUGGUAACCUUUCACAUCCGUCAAAUUUCUUGACCAAUUCAUAGCAGGGGACAAAUAGCCUGGAAGACACUGCUGGUCUCUAGCCCAUUCGAUAGCAAGCAGACACCCUCUGACUGAGGACUGUGAGCCCUGCACGCACCAAGAUAGUCCCUCGGCAUCACCAAGGCUGUAGGGCUCGGUCUAUGAGAUGGGCUUAAAAGCAGUGUGCAGCCUGGGGUGAAGACCACUUGGGAGGGAGAAGGGGGGGGGAGGAAGAAAAUGGGGGGGGUGGGUAAAUGGGAGGGAAGAAGGGGAGCGCUCACGCUGAGUCCAUGCUUGUCCCGCACUCUGCUCUUCACAGUGGCCCCCUUUGGCCCCCCAGCACCCAUGAAGUUGUCCCCCCAAAGUGUAAUUCAACAGGAGCCCCCUUGGCAAAACUCAGCAGUCCUGUGGCUAAACACUGUAUCCCAUUCGCUCUGUGCUCUCAGCACGCACCCUGCCUUCACCCCUUCCUGGAGUCCUUCCCUCCCUUGGCCUGGGCUUGGGGGCAGGGAGGGGUCAGGAUUAUGUGCCUGGUCUUUCCCAGAAACCAUUUGAUAAUUUUUUUACAGCUGAGAUAUUUUUGAGCAGGUUUUGAUUUUUAUUAGAUCUUUUUGAUAACAAAAAAUAGGUGUUUCUUAUAACAAAUGAAACAAUGUAACUAUAAAUGAAAAACAAUAGUUCUUCCCCCAAUCCUGCCUCACAUGAUUAACAAUGGCCUGGUUAUUCCUUCAGUCAUUCAAAUAUAUAUGUAAUAUCACUACAUAUAUAUAUGUAGUGUGAUCACAAUAUAUGGCAUGUGUUUUGGAUACACAAGCUUAAAUAUCACAUAGUUACUCUUAUAUGAGAAACCCAAAACAUACAGAACAAUAUGAUAGGAGGGAGAUAGAUGUUCUGCAAAUGAGAAGGGGGACCAAGCAAUGUGAGGAGGGAAGAUUAAAAAAAAAAUUAAGAUGUGUUGUGUACGUGUCCCAACUCUACGUGGGGAAUGUGACCAUUAGGUACUGCAAACAUGUAUUAGUAAAAGGUUAAAAAACACUUACAGAAAAAUACCACCCCCCAGCUUUGAACACUUAUCAUUCUUGCCACUUUCUGAAGUGGUUCUGGAAGUCCUCUUUCCCGAGUGACUUUAUCAGGUGUGAUUAAAAAAAAAUAGUGUGGGGCCGGGGAUUUAGCUCAGUGGUUCCAGCUCCUGCUUUGCAAGUACAAGGUCAUGAGUUUGAUCCCCAGUGCCCCCCCAAAAACUCAAUGAAUGCUGGUGCUGAAUGCUAUCCAACAGAAAGAUAGGCUCACAAAAAAUACAUUAUGCUGUGUCCUCACCCAUCUUCUUCACUAGAUCUGGCACUGUGCAGCUUCUGGCUCUUUUCUAAAGUCAAAAUGACCAUGAAAGGAAAACGUUUUGAAAAAGAUUCAGGAUGUGGAAGCAGCCACAACAGCCAACUAAAGACACCCAGGAAAGAGGACUUCAGACCUGCUUCAGAACAGUAGGACAAGUGUGUUUGAAGCAAAGUGACAUAUUGUGAGGGGGAUUAAUAGCAAUAUGUCUUUGCUGUAAUGCUUUUUAAAAUUUGCAUAUUAGCCACAUUUUUUGAUCACACUGCAUGUACUUUUUUGGUACCAGGGAUUGAACUUGGGACCUUUUGAGGCAGGCAACGGCACCACUGAGCUAAGUCCCCAGCCCCACACUGCACAUCUUAAAGCUAACGUUUUCUUUUAAUGUCAUGGAAUUUAGUAUAGAUGCCAAAAUCUCCAGAGUGGCUACCAAAAUGCCAAGCAUAACUGUCACGUUCCCCACGACCAAUCCCAUCUGCAGAUGGAGGGACCAGGCGGUGGUGGAGCUGGGGCCCCAAAGCACACUGGCUGGUCACACUUGUGCCUGCUGCCCUGCCCUCCUCCUAGGGGCAGACUCUGGGGCUGGCCUGAAGAAGGGCUGGAGAAAAUGAUUCUUAUUCUCUGGCAGGUAUAUUUUCCCCAAGCACCUGGAUUUUAAAGGGGCAGAUGCUGCCUUUUUGAAGCAUGAGACAAAGAUCAAGUAGAUGAAUCUCAGGGGUGGUUUCCUGCUUUCCAUUUCCUUUGAAGUUACUGGGAAUAAUGGGGUUAGGAUCUGUGGGUUAGGGUAUGGGGAAGCCCCCCAGGUUGAGGCACUGAGGCCUGGGGUGGAGCCACAGAGAGGGGCCUGGCCCAGCUUUGGGGCCUCUUCACAUUGGACAUUUCCCCCUCAGGCUCCUGCCAAAGCCCUGAUUUUUUGUUUUACUUUCCCCCCUCCUUGCUCUUUAUUUCUGAAAUUUCUAUUUGAAGCUAAGAGAUUUCUUCCAUCUAAACUCAAGACAGCUACAGUAAGCCAGGAUUAACUCUCCCUUCAACCUUUGAGAAAUGGUCUCAGGAUAGGGGCAAGGAUGUUUAGUUUGCCAGGGAGUAAUAAGCAUCUGAGGUUACUCAUCAGUCCCUUAGGUGAAAACCCAGGAGGCUGCCAGAACCAGCCAGCACCUCCUGUCCUGGCCCUCAGGUUGCUCAUGGCUCAAAUGAUAGUGUUUUCUUUGCCCCUCAAGGUCUGACAGGCAUUGCUUGUCUUCUAUUUCCUAGUUGCAAGGUAUUUUUUUUCAAUUUGGAACAUGUGUUCUAAUUUGAAAACGAAUGAGUUUUCUUCAGUAAAACUUGCCACCUUUCAAAGAGGUUUGCUCUAACCCAAGCUUAGACACUAGUGGCCAGAGCCAGAGGUUUGGGUGGAGAUGGGCCUGCUGGCUGUGUGCCCCCACUUUGGACUCCACCAUCUUUGGGCCCACCAUGGCCUGGUUAUGACACACACAUGGCCUUGCCCACCACGGAUCUGGAGCCACUUCUGCCAAAGACUGGAGGAAUAAGAAAAGCCAGUCCAGCCUGUUGGAUCAGUAACACAGAUAAGCAAGAGUAAGAAAGCUGUCCGUUCCUGAGUAAAAACACCAAAGCUCCACAACCCCCUGUACCUUCACAACACUGCAGAGUAAGCCAUGGCCCCCAAUUGUACCCCGAGGAUGCUGCUGCCCUAGGUAGCAACACUGCCAGCAGCCUCUACCCAAGGUAGAAAUGACUGUCAUCUACUCGUUUCAGGAGAGCAACGGGGUCCCCCAAGAAAUUAAGGUCUUUUUCAAAAUAGCAUUCUGGGGUCCCUUUUUGAACCUCUGUAGCUGUCAAUUCUACAUGGCUCUGCGGGGCUGGGAUGAAGCCCGGUGGGAUUAAGGAGACUUGGAGAUGUUUUAGAAUAAGCAGCUUCCGACUAUUAGUAACUUCACACCUACGGCUAAGGCUCAACCCUCCCUGCCCCCUUUCUUAGCCCAAAAGGACAUGAUCAUUCUGUUGUGGGUGUGAAGCAGCAGGUGCACCCAUCUGUGCUUCUACACAGAAUAGGACCACACACCCUCUCCAUCCCCACCAAGCCCCCGAAGGAAGUGUAUGACUCAUGGAUGCCUAUAGAAGUGUUAUCAGCCUGCGCACACAUGUGUGUGCCUGUACAUGUGUAUGUGUGUCUACAAACACAUGUAGAUGCAUAUCCUCUCUUCCUACUGAUUCUGCUCCACAAAUUUUUGCCAAAUCUGAUAACCAUGCUUUUUCAGUUCUGUCCCAUCCAGGUCUUCAGGUACAUGACUUUCAAAAAUCAUAAGAACAAAAGUCAACUUAUUUAACCUCGACAGUUAUAGGCUAGAGAGCCACUGUUUCCAGCUGUCCUUGUUGGCCCAGACCUCUCCAGGGUAUCCCCCUCCCAGAGUUCCCCAGAACCACACCGUCAACCAGCACGCACGGCAGGACAGCCAGCUCCCAGGGUUCCUUCUGGGUUGUGUUAUAAAGUCUGGCAGAGACAUCAACACAUGUCAACAUGUUCCUUUUGGUGACAUGUUUGUCUUUUCCUUGUUAGCUUUGGUUCAAGGCUGUAAAUCCAUAAGAGGAAGCGGUUUCCAAGCCUAAGCAAAAAAGUGAGCAGAUGCACUUCAUGGACUUUGGGGUUUCUCUGUGCAGAUCUUCCCCUCCAUCACUUACCUCCCCAUUAUUUUUCUUAGAAAUCCAAAUAAAAAGGAUAUUUGGUGAUCAAAGUGAAUUCAACAGGCAGGGCAUGAAUGGAUACAAACCACCAAGCUCCCAGUGAGCUAUGUCUAUGGUCAGAUGUUGAUGAGAUCCAUCCUGGUCCCCAUAUUUGUUGCCUCUGAAGGGAUUGGAUCCUUCUCUCUGCUUUUUCAUCUGAGCCUCUGCAGUUCUCUUGUUCUUUGCUCUGUUCUGUCUCUGCUCUGGUUUGAACCCUGCUAUGUCAGCUCUCUUGUCUCCUUUUUAUUAUUCAAACCGUCUUUGAGCUGUUGGCAUUAGUUCUGCAGGGUGCCUGGGAGGGAAUUCUGAAAGCUCCAAAAUGGUCCCCCUCUACCUCCAGUGGAAGAGGAGGACCCAGGAAACCCAGCAAAACAAGUCCGGUUUUAUUGGUUCUUCCUCUGAGUAAAAAACUGCUCAAGUUUUGAACAAAUUCGUAUACAGCAUAAACACUUAUCCAGAGUUAAAUCUAAAUCCAUCCAGGCAGUUUCAUGUUGACAAAAGGUAAGGAUUUACCAUGUUAGGGUAUCCAAAAGAAUUUGCCAUAGACUCUGAAGAAAUUUAAAGCAGAAGACUGCACAUGGCAGGGAAGAGCAUGUGACACAGGUGACCAGGUUCUGACCCACAACUGAUUCUGGGCACCUGUGAACAAGUUACUACAUCACUGUGGCUUCGUAAAGUGGCAGCCCACCCCAUACCUUCCCCUGACUAUUCGAGUCAUAUGACAAAUAGUUCAUACCAUGAACGGAGCUGUGGAUGGUGUAGAGAUGCCCUGGUUCCAAAUGACCAUGAGUCAGAAGAGCCUCAAAGUCUGAAGCACAGGCUGCAGAGCAGACCGAUCAGGCAUCCAUUCCAGCCCCUGACUGUGUGGUGCCCUGGACCUGCACUCCCUCAUUUGGAAGAUGGAAAACACUACCUACCUCAGGACUUGCUGGUCUUAAGAGAAUCCAAAAACAGUGCAGAAGAGGCCUUACCCACCCACCUUUGGCCCUGAUGGUGAGAGACAUGCUCCAAAGAACAGGAAGGAAACCAUCACUUUCACAACUGACUUUGUGUAGCUCCCAGCAAGGACAUCAGAAGAGGUGACCCACAUUGCAAGAAUGAAAUGGAGGAGCCAGCCUGCCAGGGGACGCCACUCACCUGUCACCAGAUCCUAUGCUCUUGUGACACCUGUUUUCCCUAGAAAUAAUUCCUACCAUUGGUGAAGCUCCUCAAGUUCCCAUGGCCUAGGGCAGGACCUGUACCAUGUGCCAAAUUCUGUGCUGCUGCUUCUGCGAAGGACACAAGAACAGCACAUGCUUGGGGAUUGCCCUUCCUGGAGGAGAUGGCACAGGAGCAGCUGGAUAGGACAGUGAAGGGCCUGCAGUGUGGCUGGAGCUCUGUGUGUGUUCCCCAGGGUGGAUGGGGAACCCCAGGAACUGGAAACAGGCCAGGAGAAGAGAUGACACUCAGAGAUAUGACUUAAGUAUAAGGCUGUGACAAAAUGAGAAACUGGAGCCAGGGAUUUAUCUCAGUGGUUCCACUGCCUGCCUCGCAAGCACAAGGUCCCGAGUUAGAUCCCUGGUACCAAAAAACCAAAAACAAACCAAAAAAAUGAACCGAAUAGAACCUCUUAGAAGGAGUAAAAAUAGCCGAAAGAGUUCAACGUAUCUGGCCAUUAGAGGGAAUACAAAUUAAAAUAAUAUUGAUAUUCCAUCUUGCCCCAAGAAAGAAUGGCCAUCAUCAAUAAAUCAAUAACAAAUGCUGAUGGGGGGUGGUGGUAAAGGAAUUCUUCCUACACUGUUGGUGAGAAUGUAAACUGGUACAACCACUAAUGGAAGUCAGCAUGGAGAUUCCUCAAAAAACUGAAACUUGAAAUUCCAUUCCACUCAGUUAUUUCCCUUCUAAGCAUCUUCCAGAGAGAGUCAUCAUACUACAGUGAUAUAUACACACCCAUGAUUACAGCACCAUAGCUCACAGUAGCUAAAUCUUGAAGCAGCCUAUAUGUUCAUCAACAGAUGAAUGGUCCUGCAGGUAGCUGCGAGCAGCUGAAGGUUUUGGAAUGUGAUGUCAGGAUUUGAUUUCUAUCUUGGAGCAGUUUUGGAAAUGGACCACAAAUCAACGAAAUAACUGACCCACCAGCUUGGGAGUAGAGACAGGAGUUAUGGUGCCCUUUAAGCCCAGCCCCUCGGCGGCCACAGCCUGAGAACCUAUAGGGUUUGAAAAGUCCUUAUACAAGUUCACAGUUCCUCUGAGCUAAAAAAUAAAUUCAGAAUAAAACAGAUCACAGUUGUCUGACAUUUCUAAAAUUCUCCUUAUCUGGUGUCACGGGGUCUGCCCGGAUGGAGAAGGGGCAGAGAGGCUGUCUGCACCCUGGAGUGGAGGGAAUGGGAAGGCAGCAGCGGGUGGCAGAGGAUCUGGUCACAGUUGCCCAGUUUCCUCUUUGCUGUCUCUGAGAACCAUUGUUUUGUGGCCUGGGUCUAAAACAGAGACAGAUCUGCGAUUGUGCCAAGAAAAACUCCCUGGGCCAGCUCUGAGACUACUGCACACACGGGCGUGGACCAGUGCAAGUGUGUUUCAAAAGCAAACAGUGGUGUGCAGUCCCUCACACGCGGGCAAAGCGAUUGACCAUGACUUGUGGGGUCACGGGCUCCUCCAAUGCCCUUCAACCCGAACUCACAAUUGGUCGUCCUAGGAAACAGAAGCCAGGGGGCUCCCAGUUACCCCUCACUCAAUUCUGCUGGGAAGACUGACAAUCGAGGAGAUUAGAGCCGCUCUGCAAGCCCAGAAGGGGUGGAGCCGAUGCUGGGGCCAGGGGUCGUGUUUUGGGGUCAGAGGCCUGGGAGCUUCUGCCAUCGACCCCUGCCUGAAGGUUCAAGUUUGAUCUGUCAUUUGCAAAUGCCUGUGUCAGAUAAUUCAUCUCCUGUGGCCACAGCACAGUGUGACUUGGCUGGAGGAACGAAGCAUCGUGGAGAAAAGCAGCACCCAGGACAUCACAGAAAACUUUAAAAGAUUCCAAGACGGGCCCUGCCCUAGGCAGAGACAGCAGAGGUCAAAAAUUCACUCCAGGCCUGCUGGGGACUAGGAGCCUGGGGAUAGAACGUGGCUCUUCCCCAAGAUAGGGUCCCCAUCUGGGGCACUCAGACACCCUGGACCAGCCCGGUCCACCCCAUAGCUUCCCACCCAACCCAGCAUCGACCUGGUCACCCUGCCUCAGAUGAGAGAAUGGAGUUGACAGCCAGGGGGUGGGGCAUGUGGACUGUGGAUGCAGAACCGAGGAACAGAGAUGGAAACAUGUCAGCUGCCCAGGGGCUGUGGCGGAGGUAUCCACAGAAGGCCACCAGGGAGAGCAGCCAAGUGCCACUUGGCUCUUUGCAGAGAGCACUGCAGCGGCCACAUGUGCUGAAACUUGGGAGGGAGGCGAGCUCUGUGAGCACCACAGCAUCACCCACUGGACACCUGGUCCCUGCCCUCCUGAUCCCCUCUGCCUGGGCCCUCUCCUCACACACAGCCAUGUGAGCUCCCAGACAGAUAUAAUAUUGCACGUGCAAUGUUAUGUGACACACAGGCCAUCACAACCCGACCAACCAGCCCAUCGUGAGUGACACGCGUAGUCCGAUAAUGCCCUUGUGCACAGCACAAUCAAGACCCUUGAACCUGGCUCUGUGACGUGAGUGUUCCCACCCGGUAUGCUGAGGUCCCUUAUGGCAGGGUCCCUUGAGAGCUCUGCCCUCACCUCCAUUUCCAAACAGGUUCCUGGUGGGAGGGGUGUCCCAGUGGGCAUGUGCAGCACCAUGUGUAGUUCUUGAACCCAGGCCACCCACACAGCCCAAUGGGCAGAUCCCAGAAGACAUCCCCAUAUAGCAAGGAUGGGUUCACAUUGAGGAUGACGGCAGGACCAGUCUCGGGUCUCCCCCUAGGUGCCGUGGGCCCACCUGUCUCCCCUCUUGACUGCUCACCUCCCCACCACCACCUGCUGGUCACAGUAGCAGAGGCAGACCCCCUCAGUGUCACCACAGCCCACACUCAGGUAGGUGCCGGCAGCUGCAGCCCUGCUCUGUGAACUGCUGAUUCCUAACGCUCCUGCCCUUUGAUAUCCCUGGAGGUUUACAGAUAAAAAGUCCCCAGAGUGUUGGAAGGCUCAAAGAUCUGUGGCAUUCAAGCCAACCACUCAGACCACAAAUCUGAAUUUGUGGAUCACCCAAGCAUCACCACCACCCUGGAGUCUCUCCCUGUCCUCCCAUGACUGCCACACCUCCCAGUAGUCUGGAUGCUGCAUCUGUUUGCAUCCAAGACGACCCUCAGGGUGUCGCCUGUCUUUUUCACUCCUCAGCAAACAUUGAUAGAGCCUGGCACAUUAUGCCUGUUCAAUGUAUUCUGGGCCCCAAGACUCGGGUUAAUAAAACUGCCAGUCCCUGGCCUCCUAGGUCUUAUAUUCGGGUGGGGAGAAAGACAUAAACAAACAGCUAAUGGAGUGUGAUGAGCACUAAAGAUAAAAAUAAAACCAACAGGAUGGAGAAGUGACAGGGUGGGCAGCAGCAUGGGGACUUUGAAGGGCUGUCAGAAAAGCCCCUGUGUAGGGGAAGCAGCAGGGGGUGCCUCUCAGGGACAGUGGGCCAGGAGGCCUCGAACCUUUGCAGAAAACAGACUCCAUUCCCUCAGCAAUGAAAUUGAAUAAAUAGCAAUAAGAUCUCCAAUCCCUUAUGUUAUCACACUUGGCCAUAUCAUGUGCCUGUCCAUCCAUUUCUGCAUUCACUCCUCAUAACUCCCUGGCUAUCAUUCACACAAGAUGCUGAAGCAGAGGUCCAAAGAUGGGAAGGGGCCUUCCCAAGGCCGUACAGAGAAAAGCCAGUGGCAGGACUAGAUUAUUGGGACGUCUCUUUCCCAGCUAUGUGCUCCCUAGGAAAAUGGGUCAUGCUGGAUGACUCUACUAUAUUCUGCUGAACAUUCCUACCCCAGGUGCCUGAUUAGAACUGAGAAAAGCCCAUUGUGAGCAGCCCCGAUUCCCUCCAGUCUGACUCCAAUAUAGCUACAUGGUUACUGGUGGGGGGAUUAGUGGAGGACAUAGCUACCCCACUCUUAGAUCGUAGGAGCUGAAGCCAGCAAAAAAGAGCUAGAGAGCAGUGUGUGAACUCUGUGUACCAUAUUUGGCUGUCACUGCUGCAUACAUAUCUACUCACCCUUGCCCACCUUUGUGUGUUUGAGUGAAUUUCUUCUGGACUAUUGACAUAUAGAUCCCAAAUUUGCUCAUAUCGACAGACUCUAAGGUAGGAAAUCUCCAGUUUCAUAUGAGUUUAGUCAAAUCUAUUUUCCUUUAUGACCUCAGUUUCUCUUGUGAAAUGAACAUUUUGAAUUAGAUGGCCUGUGAGUUUCUGGCAUCCUACAAUUCUACAUGUGUAAACAUGUACGAUUGGUUGGGGACCCAAAGUAAGCCCUACUGUGAGGUGCUGUAUCAUACCUGGCUGGAGACUUCUGAGUCAUUGUCUCAACAAAGAUGUUUUUCCCAAAACAGAGCUUCCCGUGGUACAGAGUCCACUUGUUUCUUCAAAAUCCGCAGCAGUUGCUCAUUGCAAAACCAAGGCAGGGCAAAGCCUUCAGGAUGCGAAUGGGAACAAAAAGGAUGCAGGAAGGAACAAGAAAGCAAGAGGAGGAGAAAGAGAAAGGCAAAGUGAAGAAAAAAGUGGUGGGUGGAAGGGAUGCAGUGACAGGCUCAGGGACAGGAAAUGUCUUAGUAAAAGAUUUCCAGAGUUUUGUAAUCUGUUUCUUGUAUAAGGCAUACGGGCUUCAUUAAUAAGAAGGUGGGUGGGUGCCUUAGUUAUUUUUUCUCAUUGCUGGGACAAAAAUGCCCAACACUCACAAGUUAAGGGGAGAAAGGUUCAUUUAGCUAAGUUUGUAGAGGUUUCAGUCUAUCAGAUGGCUCCAAGGCAGGGUGGCACAGCAGACAGGCAUCGCAGAAGAGAAACAGUUCAUGGUGGGCAGAAGGUAGCAAAGCAAGCAGGUGGCGACCACAGCUCUUUCCUUCCAUUAUGUCUUAUCCAGGCUACUUAGGGUGAGUAGCACUCACACCAUGAAUCAAUCCUAGCAUCACAUUCUAGAUCCAGCCACCUGUGAAAAGCCCCAUGUAUGACUGCACGAGCCUUUAGGGGAACAUCUAGACACAAACCAUAACUCUGUGUGUGUGUUGCUGCAAGUAUUAAUCACAUUGGUGACAAGCAGAUGAAAUCGGCUGGGUGUGCCACAUGCAUAAUCUUUCCUCAAACUGGAACCCGUAUAUUCAUCCUUCAUGGGCUGAUAUCCAGGAACACUUGCCUCUCAUGCUUACCACUUAUUCUGGAUGAACCCCCAAAUUCUCUUACCCAACCCUAUCACUGAUUACUCCCUCUCUUAGAGGAGGAAGUGUUUUCUUCUCCCAGCCAAUUUCAGCCAAAGAAAAAUCUUAGUUCAGGUUCUUUGUGUUGCUCCACUUUCUUCUUUCUAGUUCUUUCCCCCAUCACACACAUAAGUCCUUCUAGUUUUCACCUUCACCCUUUCCUAGAGUAUCCUAGUCAUUCAGAAAUAACCUUUAAAAGGCGGGGUACUUGUGUCCCAAAGAGACCCAAAGACUUGCUGGAGGAAUAAUGUAAGGGAAAUCCUCUUCUAGAUCCUCAACAUCCACAAACACUAGUAUGCUCAGGCCUGUCAGACAAAGUGGUGUCUAUGUGCAAGUAAGGCAGGGGAACACUGAGGGAGCAUUACUGCCAGAGAUAAAGUAAUGGAAGACUGUGCUGUAAUCGGAAUCAGAGGCCGCUGUGCCCUCAGAGAUGUUGGGAGACAUGGUCACAGAGCUCAAAAGACUGGAAGCCAGCAGAAGAUAAACCUGUGGCCAGCCGACCUUAGGUCCCACCUCCCCAUGUCUGUGCCAUUGCAUAGUCCUCUCCCUUUGGGAAUGUGAGCACCUAUGGCCAGCCCUAACCAAAGGAACAUGGCAAAAGUCACUUCACAAGCCACUCUGGUACACAAGGCUUUGGAAGGACCAGUCCUUGGGUCUCCCUUUCUCUCACCUCCACUGUCAGGGAAAUUGCAGGGAGUUUCUAGGAGCCCAGGCUAGUCUCAGACUUGCAAUGCUUGGAAAGAGAUUCUGCUAGCAAUCCCUGUGAAUCCAGGGGCUCCUUCCCAUUGAUCCCCUGAGGAGAUCACAGGCCUGACUGGUGUUCUGCCCACAGCUAGCAGAGAACCAAGCUCUUCUGUGCCCCAACUUCUGACUCACAGAAACUGAGAGUGUAGAUGGGAGUCGUUUAAGUCACUAAGUUCAUGGCAUCUGUUACACAGCAGUACAAAACUUAAGCAGCUGGAGAUGGUGGGGAGGCUGGGCUGAGGAGCACAGGUUUUAUCACAUAGGCCACCAGGAACCAGGCUUGCUCUCAGCAAGGAAAAGCCACAGAAGUAAGUUUGGGGACAGUCACUCUGACCGCAGGGCAGGAGGAAACUCGAGAACAAGGUGGAAGCCUUUUAUCUUCCAGGAAGUCAGGGAUACACCAGUGAGCACGAGGCCUCAGACCCAGCAAAGCCAUUCAACCUGUAUUUACUGACUAUUUACAGGGUGUGGUGUUCAGGGGAGAGGAAUACGGGGAGAAUGACCCAGCAUGUUCCCUGCCUUCUGAAAUGUUAGGGUAGGUUCAGAAAUGUGUAUUUAAGCAGGCAAAACUUGGUUGGUUGGCUCUGUUUCUUUUCCAUUUGACAGUGUAGGACACUGCCCAGAAGGGAUGGAUCGAAGCCUCUUCCUGGGGGGCAGAGGGCUCCUGCGUGGGGUAACGCUGAGGUCCAUCCUGAAGGAUGAGCCAGGACUGCACAGGCAGGGGUAGGAUUUCAUGGCCCUCCAAUGAUUGCUUGGUGUGAGAGAAAACUCGAGUUGGUUAGAAAGCGAGCCUAGAGCUGGGAAUCUUGGAAAAAGAGCUCUUUUUCCCUUCUCAUCUGCCUGGAGUGCUGAGUACUUCCGUGAUCUGUUAAAGAAGGAUCCACAGGAGAGCUGAGGUGCACUGGUUAUGAAGGAGAGAAGGACUUAACUGAGUUACCAGGAUGACUUAGAUAAGGACGAAGCUGCAGAGAGAACCUUUGUUUGGGGAGCACCCAAGAGCCAAGAAUGUGGCAGAGAGUUAGGGAGGGGGGUGUAGAGAAGACCAUCUGCUGUUAGAGAGUAUCGAGAAAUUGGAAAGUUAUUUUGGGACCAAAUGUGUACCUCAAAAGACAUGAUCAAUUCCAUUCUAACCCUGAUGUUUUUGGCCCACCCAGGAUCCCAGUACUGCCUAUUUAUCUCCUUUGAAUCGCUUCCUGUUAUUUGGGAUAAAAUCCACGCCCCCCCCCCAUCAUCAUACACAAGGCACCACCCCUUCCAGCCUCUGCUCCCCUCUUUGUCCCCCCUGUUCUCCCCCUCUCCCCCCGCCCUUCCCCCAAUUUACACCCCCAGGCUCCCAGUGUUCUGGCCUCUUUCUCAGUUCACUCAGUUUCUUCUGUCCCUGGGUCUUUUCCAUACAUUAGGCUUGGGGGGGGACACAGGCAGGUGAGGGCACAUUCCAGGCAGAACUCCUUGACCUCACCCCAGUUUGAGCUCCCCUCCUUCGCCUGCUCCCAACCUGAAUCCUGUCCUUUCUCUUUCAAAUAAAGCAUUGAUCCUACUGUACCUCUUGGAUGUCCUGCUGAAUUCUUUGUUUGGGACAAGACCCCAGGCCAGCAAUUCACCCUCUGUUGAAGUAGAACCCAGGGUAGAUGGCAGGGUAACGAUGUAACACUGGUGCCUCUGCCACUGACACAAGUGGACACCGCUAACUGAGAGCAAGGAAAAUACUCCAGCCAGCCCUCAGGACAAGGCGGGCAUCGUCACAGCGGGGCUGAACUGCACCCACUUCCAGCAACUCAUGACUCUCAAAAACGCAGCAUUGGAAGCAGGAAGAACUGGCUUGGCGUCCCUCUCUCCAGAGCCACUUUUUCUGGACAAGGCUUCCUGGAGCGUUCUUCAGGAAAUUAGCAAAUGCCUCUGCUUGGAACGUCAGGUUGCAGGAACGCAUGGCCAGGCCAGAAAGCGCCUCCAGAACCGCAGAGAGCAGCCUUCUCCUUUGCAGGAGCUUCUGGGAGCCCAGGCCUUGACCACAAAAGGGGCAGCAAGGAGCCAGCCACCAGCCCUGUGCCAGUGACCUUCGGGCCCAACUCCAGUGGGCUGCUCAGAAGACUGGCAGCAAUCAGUUAAAUUCCUCGGGGCCCGGUUUCUUCCUGUGCGGUGGAGACAAUAAGAGAACCAGCCUGGAGGGACUGUGCCCGGGGUUGGCCCAGGCAGGGCACAGGGCACGUACCUCACCCAUUCUUAAACCCUCACAGGCAGACUGGGCACCUCCUAUGUGCCGUCUCCCUUAGAGACUUGGAGCUAUAGCCAAAGAAAAGGGGGGAAAGGAAAGCCUACUUGGGGGGCAGUGUUUGAGGAAGAGGCACCAUUUUAACUUUUUAAAAAUUAUUAGUCCCUGUUUGCAAUACAUAAUGGCUACAUUCAUCAUGAAGAGUGGCCACAUGUAUGUAGCACAGUUUAAUUCUUUAUCACCUUCCUCCCCCCUCACAUCUCUCCCUCCACCAUUUAAUAAACUGGUAAGGAUAGGCCCCGUUGAGAAAGUGGCUCUAAAAUUAGCCAGGUAUGGUGGCGUAGGGCUAUGAUCCAAGCACUGGGGAGGCUGAGGCAGGAAGAUUGCCACCAGUUUUGAAGUCCACUUGGGCUACAUGGUGAGUUCAAGACCAGCCUGAACUUCAUAGUGAGACCCUGUCUAAAAAAUCCCAAUAAAUAUAAAAGUAAUUCAAUAAGGCAAAUGUUCUUCCUGACCUUGUCUUCACUCAUGAAGGACAUCUAUGUGCAGCUGGUCUCCCACCCUAGUUCCCCCCCUUGAAGUUGGAACCCAGUGACCCUAUCUGGGUGGAUGUGAGCAGGGACAGUGUAAGCAAUCUCAGAGACCCUGCUCUCGCCCCUCUGAGGCUCACUGGGCCCAGAAGUUACCUCCGUUGAUUCUGGGGCUGGAAUUGGUCACCCUUUGCAGCAGACCUUGCACUCUGACUCUGGGAAAGUAGAGGGGUUAGGACCAGCAGAGCCCAGGGCCCGCCUCAGGCCACUGUGAUGCCCCAACAGGGGUGAGGGAUUUGGGGAGACUGCUCUGCCUGCCUACAAGUACAGCCUCGCCAUGCCCUCCCACCCCGUCCAUGAGCGGAUACUUCUCCCCUCCCUCCGAGUGCCAAUCCUUCCAAAUCCUCUAGCUGGUCUCGGUUUGACUUCAGCACCAGCGGUGAGAGGGGAGAUUUAUGUCCACCACUUUCUGUGGAGAGGGUUUCACAGAAGACGUAUUGUUCCUAGCAAGAUUUUCACCAGGGCUGUGGAAGAGGCCAGAAAUCCCCUCCCUGGUAGUAGUGUCACAUUUCUUUGAAGUCGUUGACUCUGAAAAAGAAAGAAAAACGUAUAACCAAUUUCAGCUGAGAUGUUUGCGGGGGUCUAUAUUUCAUGUAUAAGUACAUGUGGGCAUAUGAUGUGAUACAAGAGUACACAUGUUGAAUCACAUGAUCGAAGGGUCAGAAGGGCUGGAUGAUAGGAUUUUCCUCCGCUGCCCUGUAAGAGCGACAUGGGUCCAUCUCCCAAACUGAGGCAGAGGGGACUGACAACGCCAGACCUUCAUCCCUGGCCUAAAGUGUUACAAUUAAUUUUAAAACAUUCUAUUUAGUUUAAGAUGAAUGUAAAGGCAAAGAAGUUAAUAAAACCUGCUUCCUUUCACCAGCUCAUUAGAAAUCCCUGGAACACAGUGUUUAUAAUUCAUACCUGUAGAGUUUUCCUCACCAAGUCAUCCAGUGUUUACUAUGCUAGGUUCAUUUUUGCAGCAACAAAAAGAUUCCACUUAUAAUAGUGAAAAUUUGUGGCAAGGGGCUCACGUAAUUUUCUCUUGAUUGUAUCUAAAAUAUAAAUUAGUCACCCUCUAGGCAUAUUCUGAUUUUAAUUAUCCUUCUUGUAAGAAUGUGAUGGAGGUGGGAGAAUCAUGUUCUAGGAAACAAGAAACAUGGUCACCUCCAGCUCUGACACCAGGUGAUUGAAUACUUGUGGGUUGUUUAUGGUUCUGGCCUCGGCCUGCUCUUCUGUGAAAUGGGAGGAUUGUGAGAGGUGACUUUGGAGGUCUCUUCCUUUAGAAAGAGCGUGUCCAUGGGCCAGGGAUUUUAGCUCAGUGGUGCCACGGCCUGCCUUGCCAAGUGCAAGGUCCUGAGUUCAAUCCCUGGUACCAAAAAAAAAAAGCAUGUUAGAGUUAUGGAGGGAGCCUGGAUUUGGGAAAUCAGAGAUGAGAGUUCAAGUCCCAGCUCCACCUCUCCCUCAGCAGUCGACCUUGGCCUUGUCUGAAUUUCAGGACAGACAUUGGUGACAUUUACUGGGAAAAUGGGGGUAGAGAUGACAAAUGGGGAGGGACACGCCUCUGCGUGAAGGAAACCAGCAAAUGGUUUUUUCCUUCCACAUGGCCCCUUCCUCCCUCCAGCCCCUCCUCUUGGCCAAGAGUCAACAGAGGCCUGGAGCAAGGUCCAGAGUGAGUAUGGGGCAUGUCCACAUCUGUCCACAGGAAGUGUCUACCUGCUGAACACAAGGCUUUUCCAUCAUGUGGCC